UACGUAGGGCGCAAGCGUUAUCCGGAAUUAUUGGGCGUAAAGAGCUCGUAGGCGGUUUGUCGCGUCGGCUGUGAAAUCCCGAGGCUCAACCUCGGGUCUGCAGUCGAUACGAGCAAACUAGAGUGUUGCAGGGGAGACUGGAAUUCCUGGUGUAGCGGUGAAAUGCGUAGAUAUUGGGAGGAACACCAGUGGCGAAGGCGGCUCACUGGACCGGUACUGACGCUGAUGCGCGAAAGCGUGGGGAGCAAACGGG
rnacentral:rRNA from 1 species